GAUGAAGAACGUAGCGAAAUGCGAUAAGUAAUGUGAAUUGCAGAAUUCCGUGAAUCAUCGAAUCUUUGAACGCACAUUGCGCCCCCUGGUAUUCCGGGGGGCAUGCCUGUCCGAGCGUCAUUGCAACCUUCAAGCGCGGCUUGUGUGUUGGGUCUCGUCCCCCGUGGACGGGCCCGAAAGGCAGUGGCGGCGUCACGACAUGGUGCCCGAGCGUAUGGGAAUCCUCUUCCGCUCGAAUCGGCCCAUGCGGCGCUGGUCGUAACCAAAUUUUUUACCGGUUGACCUCGGAUCAGGUAGGGAUACCCGCUGAACUUAAGCAUAUCAAUAAGCGGAGGA
rnacentral:misc_RNA from 1 species